AGUACAAUCAAAUCCUUUGCGUGAUACACAUAAUUUAAAAAGAUCCAAAAAAAACCUCAAAUCGUACAAAAAUCUAAACAAGCCACAAUUUCCACAAACAAACUAAGUCUUCUAUAGACCUAUUUUCUUUAGGCUUGACAAGUACUCCUUAACCCCAGAACCAAAAUGUGCUGCGGAGGUUGCGGACCCUGCUGCGGUGGGUGCUGCGGCGGUUGCUGCUGUCCAUGCAUCACCAUCUACACGUGCUGCACCAAGAUUUGCUAGUAUCGCACGCUUGCCGUCGCGGGCGGGCCAUGGACGCCCGUAGCGGUUUCUUCGGGGAACACCCGAAACUUGCUUCGUCUACGAAGUACCGUGCCGUUUUUGUGGAAAAAUAAAACUACUAUAAGCGUA